AUCCUACCUUCCAUUCCAACUGUCACUCUGUGAGCUGAGAGAUUCAAAUUUGGUGACAGAUGAGAAGCUGUCACCCUCACACCUCGAGUGUUUGAGAAUGGGAAAUCUGAAUUGUUAUUUUGGAGGAUCUUGCUUCAGGAAUGAAAGAAGAAACAUUCAUCUAAUGUCAAGAAAAUCACCCACUAGCUGGGCCAGAAUAAUCCACUUCUGGCCACAUAAGAGGGUGCACCCUAUCAAUGACUCAGAAGAAGCUCCCACUGAGUCCCUGUUGGAAGACCUGGACCUGCCCAGUGACAGGGCAGACGAGAAGGCCCCGCCUACCCCCAAGGUUAAUGGGACAAAUGAUGAAAAUGCUACAUGUGUUGGAACCACUCCUCUGCUAACGGGAAAUCUAGCUGAUGCUGACGAAGAAGCUCCCCCUGUGGACCUGUUGGAGGACCUGACUGACGACAGGACAGAGGAAGAGAUCCCACUUACUGCCAAGGAGGAUGCAAGAGCUGGUGAAAACCCUCCCCCGGAGGAUUUGUUGAAGGACAGAGCAGAGGAGGAAGCUUCACCCAUCUCUAAGCUGGUCUCAGUAGAAAGUGAAAACGAAUGCAUUUUGGAAAGCAUAUAUGACAGUGGAAAUGAAUGCAACACAGACAAGAUGCUGGACAGCUCAUGGAGCAACCAGGAUGAAGAUGCUACAGGUCUCAGGAGAGAGCUUCAGGAUAGCAAAGCCAGAGAGGGCCCUGCUGAUCUUAGAUCCCUCUGCUCCAACCAGACAUGCCUCUGUAGAGGCCCCAGCCUCUGUUACGCUCAUCCUGUGACCUCUCCUCAGGCCUGCCCUGCUCUGUCCCCUCCGUCUCUGAGGUUCAGGGCAAACAUGGGCAGAAUACUACUUCGAGUCUAAUGAAGAAUCGGAUCAGGAGAGCAACAGUCUGCAUAUGUCAAGAUAUCCUCUGCUUCUCCUCUUAAGAGAAGCUGUUGGGUCUGCAGUCAGUGAAGAAGAGGACAGGGAGGAGGAGACAUAAAUAUGGAGGGUGGGGAUGAAAGGUUCUGCUCUGACACCUGUGAAGGCCUUGACCUUGGGGCCUCAUCCUGGGCCUCAGAGGGGAACGAAGCAGUACAGAGUCAGGAGGUUUCCAACUGGACAAGGAACAGGGUUGGCCUCACUGCUCAUCUCCUAAGGAACCUAAUUUAGUACAGCUUAGUGGUUUUUUUUUUUGUAUAGCUUUAGUAUUAUGUUCAGACAUAUGUUUUAUAUAUGCUGUGGAAGCUUUCUCUAUUAAAUGACAUUCAUCUAUCUAGUUGCUUUUCACAUAUUUUCCUAUAAAAAUCACCCUAAUCCGAGGUAGGACUAAAUGAAUUGCUGUCUUGCAUUCACCCUCGUGUCCACCACCAAGGU
ensembl:lncRNA